UUGUCUGCGUGAACCUCCCUGAGUCUUGGCACAGCUCGCUUCUAAGUUUAGAAAUGACUCAUCAUACCUGAAGCCUGUG
rnacentral:lncRNA from 1 species